GACGAACGCUGGCGGCGUGCUUAACACAUGCAAGUCGAACGGAAAGGCCCUGCUUUUGUGGGGUGCUCGAGUGGCGAACGGGUGAGUAACACGUGAGUAACCUGCCCUUGACUUUGGGAUAACUUCAGGAAACUGGGGCUAAUACCGGAUAGGAGCUCCUGCUGCAUGGUGGGGGUUGGAAAGUUUCGGCGGUUGGGGAUGGACUCGCGGCUUAUCAGCUUGUUGGUGGGGUAGUGGCUUACCAAGGCUUUGACGGGUAGCCGGCCUGAGAGGGUGACCGGCCACAUUGGGACUGAGAUACGGCCCAGACUCCUACGGGAGGCAGCAGCGGGGAAUAUUGCACAAUGGGCGGAAGCCUGAUGCAGCAACGCCGCGUGCGGGAUGACGGCCUUCGGGUUGUAACCCGCUUUCGCCUGUGACGAAGCGUGAGUGACGGUAAUGGGUAAAGAAGCACCGGCUAACUACGUG
rnacentral:rRNA from 1 species